rnacentral:rRNA from 1 species
GAUGAACGCUGGCGGCGUGCCUAAUACAUGCAAGUCGAGCGAACAGAUAAGGAGCUUGCUCCUUUGACGUUAGCGGCGGACGGGUGAGUAACACGUGGGUAACCUACCUAUAAGACUGGAAUAACUCCGGGAAACCGGGGCUAAUGCCGGAUAACAUUUAGAACCGCAUGGUUCUAAAGUGAAAGAUGGUUUUGCUAUCACUUAUAGAUGGACCCGCGCCGUAUUAGCUAGCUGGUAAGGUAACGGCUUACCAAGGCAACGAUACGUAGCCGACCUGAGAGGGUGAUCGGCCACACUGGAACUGAGACACGGUCCAGACUCCUACGGGAGGCAGCAGUAGGGAAUCUUCCGCAAUGGGCGAAAGCCUGACGGAGCAACGCCGCGUGAGUGAUGAAGGUCUUCGGAUCGUAAAACUCUGUUAUUAGGGAAGAACAAAUGUGUAAGUAACUGUGCACGUCUUGACGGUACCUAAUCAGAAAGCCGCGGCUAACUGCGUG